rnacentral:rRNA from 1 species
AUUGAACGCUGGCGGCAGGCCUAACACAUGCAAGUCGAACGAGUGGCGGACGGGUGAGUAAUGUCUGGGAAACUGCCUGAUGGAGGGGGAUAACUACUGGAAACGGUAGCUAAUAACGCAUACCAUAGGAUUUGCCCAGAUGGGAUUAGCUUGUUGGUGGGGUAACGGCUCACCAAGGCGACGAUCCCUAGCUGGGCUGAGAGGCUGACCAGCCACACUGGAACUGCGCCACGGUCCAGACUCCUACGGGAGGCAGCAGUGGGGAAUAUUGGACAAUGGGCGAAAGCCUGAUCCAGCCAUGCCGCGUGUGUGAAGAAGGUCUUCGGAUUGUAAAGCACUUUAAGUUGGGAGGCGUUACCAACAGAAUAAGCACCGGCUAACUUCGUGCCAGCAGCCGCGGUAAUAC